rnacentral:rRNA from 1 species
CUCAGAUUGAACGCUGGCGGCAGGCCUAACACAUGCAAGUCGAGCGGUAGCACAGAGAGCUUGCUCUCGGGUGACGAGCGGCGGACGGGUGAGUAAUGUCUGGGAAACUGCCUGAUGGAGGGGGAUAACUACUGGAAACGGUAGCUAAUACCGCAUAAUGUCGCAAGACCAAAGUGGGGGACCUUCGGGCCUCAUGCCAUCAGAUGUGCCCAGAUGGGAUUAGCUAGUAGGUGGGGUAACGGCUCACCUAGGCGACGAUCCCUAGCUGGUCUGAGAGGAUGACCAGCCACACUGGAACUGAGACACGGUCCAGACUCCUACGGGAGGCAGCAGUGGGGAAUAUUGCACAAUGGGCGCAAGCCUGAUGCAGCCAUGCCGCGUGUGUGAAGAAGGCCUUCGGGUUGUAAAGCACUUUCAGCGGGGAGGAAGGCGAUAAGGUUAAUAACCUUGUCGAUUGACGUUACCCGCAGAAGAAGCACCGGCUAACUCCGUGCCAGCAGCCGCGGUAAUACGGAGGGUGCAAGCGUUAAUCGGAAUUACUGGGCGUAAAGCGCACGCAGGCGGUCUGUCAAGUCGGAUGUGAAAUCCCCGGGCUCAACCUGGGAACUGCAUUCGAAACUGGCAGGCUAGAGUCUUGUAGAGGGGGGUAGAAUUCCAGGUGUAGCGGUGAAAUGCGUAGAGAUCUGGAGGAAUACCGGUGGCGAAGGCGGCCCCCUGCACAAAGACUGACGCU